AGGAGACGAAAACGUGAUUGGGGGGAAGCUUCCGGCAAGGUUGACCCUUGCCACUGUCCACGAAGAUCUUGUCAUCUCAUGUUAUCAGCUGGCGUGUGCAGAAAUCUAUUAUGAACACUCUGACAGAUGUCAUCUGGUACGAUGAUCUUUUCCUGGAAAAGUUCAAGAGUCGCGGUAUCCAUAUUAAACCCCCUGCAGUAGCAAUAGUCAGAGAUGAACAUCAUAAGCUCUGUGUGAAAUAUGUACAGUUUAAAAAUCUGCUAGAACAUGCAGUGAAGUCUGAUAGCCUGGCCAAGGUGAUGAUGUUUCCAUGGUGGAUGAAUCAACACUUUUCUGCCUUCAAGAAGAGUGUUUCUGAUCUACUGGAAGCACUGGAAGGAUCAAAUACACAGAGUUGAGAAAAACCACAGAAGUUGUGAGCCUGUGAGGUCAAUUGAUAACAACUGGGGUCUUCAAGUGA